ACCUCUAGCUGGCCAGUGAUUGCCCUCAGCUGAGUAGAGCUGCCCUCCCAAGGGCUUGCUCGUGUCCCAGGAGCAACCAAUGUACUAUAGAUGCCUGACCUCCACCUUGCUCCAGUUUGGUUUCUGUACUUACUGGAUUGGAAAUUGUCCAGGUGGUUCCUGGCCACCUGUGCUUUCACGAGCCCCCCAGGUAAUAUUGAUACAAACUAAAUUGUGAGAACUACCGGCACCUGCUGGCAGAGAGCUACAAAGGCCCAAAUCCCGUGUGUGCUAUAAAGACCCCUAUUUAUUUUUCAGCCUUAUUGCCUGCUCCUUUUCACAGCUGGGUCCACUUCUCCUUUCCCGCCCGCCCCUCCACCUGUAGGCCAUACUUUCCUCCCUGUGUCCAGGAUUAGCUCCGACCUCAGGCAGACGCGAUUUAAGACGCUGUUAUUUAAGACUUAUUUCUGCACCGUCUCUGACAGAGUUAUUCUAGUUGUAAUCAUGAGGAUGCCCUGCUUGUGUCCAGUCCUGUGCUCUACCACUUUCUGCCUUGUAAUUACUUCAAUCUCUGAAUGACAAAUGCACAUCACUGUGAUCCUGUGGACCUGAGAUGAGUACAUUGUGUUCCACAGACAUGGCAGAUCCGAAGAGGCCUUGUGGUGCUGCAUAGGACAAAGUGGGCACAGAAGUGAAUUUUGCCUAGGCUACGAACUGAAGACCCAAUACAAAGUUUAAAAUGCAAUGGCCAGACGACAAGAAAGUGUCACCAGAAGUAUGUGGACAUGGACUCCGGGACUGCUAAUGAUGAUUGUGAUCUUUUGGGGUCAGCAGGGAAACGGACAAGGCCAAGAUAUGAUGAAAAUAAGAUAAACAAAGGUGAAGAGACUUACUUAAGCAGACUGCAAAUUCUCCUAGCUUUGGUGAAGUAAGCUGCCAUGUUUUAAGAGGGCCAUGUGGCUAGGAGCCAAAAGUGGGCCCUGGGAAUUGGUAACAACUGCUGCUGACGGCCAGCAAGGAAACAGAAACUUCAGUCUUCCAACUGCAAGGAGCUGAAUUCUACCAUCCACCUGAAUGAGCCUGGAAAAGGACCCCAAAUUCUAGAUUAGAACUGUAGACUGGCCAGGAUCUUGUUUGCAGCCUCUGAGACUCUAAGCAGAGGACCCAGCUAUAAUACCCCCAAACUCCUGACCCAUGGAAAAUGUGAGAAAAUACAUUCAUUCUCUGUUAAGCCUCUAAUUUUGUUGUAAUCUGUUCUCUGCAAGAGAAAACCAAUACACAUGAUGAAUUUUAUUCAAGAAGCUUGGCUUUGAAGGGUCUGGUA